rnacentral:rRNA from 1 species
GCCUAACACAUGCAAGUCGAACGGAGAUAAGCGCUGAUGAUUUAGCUUGCUAGAGAUUCUUGCUUAUCUUAGUGGCGGACGGGUGAGUAACGCGUGAGCAACCUGCCUUUCAGAGGGGGAUAACGUCUUGAAAAGGACGCUAAUACCGCAUGAUAUUAUGGAGCCACAUGGCUCUAUAAUCAAAGGAGCAAUCCGCUGAAAGAUGGGCUCGCGUCCGAUUAGGUAGUUGGCGGGAUAACAGCCCACCAAGCCGACGAUCGGUAGCCGGACUGAGAGGUUGAACGGCCACAUUGGGACUGAGACACGGGCCAGACUCCUACGGGAGGCAGCAGUGAGGGAUAUUGGUCAAUGGGGGAAACCCUGAACCAGCAACGCCGCGUGAGGGAUGACGGCCUUCGGGUUGUAAACCUCUGUCCUCUGUGAAGAUAAUGACGGUAGCAGAGGAGGAAGCUCCGGCUAACUACGUGCCAGCAGCCGCGGUAAUAC